GGACCCGCACAAGCGGUGGAUUAUGUGGAUUAAUUCGAUGCAACGCGAAAAACCUUACCUACCCUUGACAUGUCCGGAAGGCUGCUGAAAGGCGGCUGUGCCCGAAAGGGAACUGGAACACAGGUGCUGCAUGGCUGUCGUCAGCUCGUGUCGUGAGAUGUUGGGUUAAGUCCCGCAACGAGCGCAACCCUUGUCAUUAGUUGCUACAUUCAGUUGGGCACUCUAAUGAGACUGCCGGUGACAAACCGGAGGAAGGUGGGGAUGACGUCAAGUCCUCAUGGCCCUUAUGGGUAGGGCUUCACACGUAAUACAAUGGCGCGUACAGAGGGUUGCGAAGGAGCGAUCUGGAGCCAAUCCCUUAAAGCGCGUCGUAGUCCGGAUUGCAGUCUGCAACUCGACUGCAUGAAGUCGGAAUCGCUAGUAAUCGCGGAUCAGCAUGUCGCGGUGAAUACGUUCCCGGGUCUU
rnacentral:rRNA from 1 species